AGAUAUGUUUGAUAUUCUUGGUUGUGAAACUUAUUUCAACUAAGAGUCAAACAUAUGCUUA
rnacentral:pre_miRNA from 1 species